GGAACUUUGUUGUGUCGGAGAAAACACGUGCAAUUGAGAUUUUUCUUAAAUAAUUUGUUGAGAACACUCAUUUAUAGUGUAAAGUGGUAGUGAUAACCAAAUUUGUGACUGUCUUUAUAUAUAUAUUGGGGUUAUACAGCUCCAUGUAAGAAGUUUAUGAGUAAAUAAAAAGUGAAUCAUCUCAUCCGUGAUUUUUCCUCAGCACAGAGUAUGCUUAACAUGAGCAUUAACUUAAAUUGAUCAUCUGUUCAAAACUUGACAUUGGCAGAAUCCGUCUUCACUGGGAUCGGGAGUUGCCAUUUGUAAAAAGAAGAAGAAGUAG